GGGGAAUAUUGGGCAAUGGGCGAAAGCCUGACCCAGCAACGCCGCGUGAAGGAAGAAGGCCCUCGGGUUGUAAACUUCUUUUGUCAGGGACGAAGCAAGUGACGGUACCUGACGAAUAAGCCACGGCUAACUACGUGCCAGCAGCCGCGGUAAUACGUAGGUGGCAAGCGUUAUCCGGAUUUACUGGGUGUAAAGGGCGUGUAGGCGGGAGUGCAAGUCAGAUGUGAAAACUAUGGGCUCAACCCAUAGCCUGCAUUUGAAACUGUACUUCUUGAGUGAUGGAGAGGCAGGCGGAAUUCCCUGUGUAGCGGUGAAAUGCGUAGAUAUAGGGAGGAACACCAGUGGCGAAGGCGGCCUGCUGGACAUUAACUGACGCUGAGGCGCGAAAGCGUGGGGAGCAAACAGGAUUAGAUACCCUGGUAGUCCACGCCGUAAACGAUGGAUACUAGGUGUGGGGGGUCUGACCCCCUCCGUGCCGCAGUUAACACAAUAAGUAUCCCACCUGGGGAGUACGAUCGCAAGGUUGAAACUCAAAGGAAUUGACGGGGGCCCGCACAAGCGGUGGAGUAUGUGGUUUAAUUCGAAGCAACGCGAAGAACCUUACCAGGACUUGACAUCCUACUAACGAAGCAGAGAUGCAUAAGGUGCCCUUCGGGGAAAGUAGAGACAGGUGGUGCAUGGUUGUCGUCAGCUCGUGUCGUGAGAUGUUGGGUUAAGUCCCGCAACGAGCGCAACCCUUAUUGUUAGUUGCUACGCAAGAGCACUCUAGCGAGACUGCCGUUGACAAAACGGAGGAAGGUGGGGACGACGUCAAAUCAUCAUGCCCCUUAUGUCCUGGGCCACACACGUACUACAAUGGCGGUCAACAGAGGGAAGCAAAGCCGCGAGGUGGAGCAAAUCCCUAAAAGCCGUCCCAGUUCGGAUUGCAGGCUGAAACUCGCCUGUAUGAAGUCGGAAUCGCUAGUAAUCGCGGAUCAGCAUGCCGCGGUGAAUACGUUCCCG
rnacentral:rRNA from 1 species